rnacentral:rRNA from 1 species
AACGAACGCUGGCGGCAUGCCUAACACAUGCAAGUCGAACGAGACCUUCGGGUCUAGUGGCGCACGGGUGCGUAACGCGUGGGAACCUGCCCUUAGGUUCGGAAUAACUCCCCGACAGGGGUGCUAAUACCGGAUAAUGUCUUCGGACCAAAGAUUUAUCGCCUUUGGAUGGGCCCGCGUUGGAUUAGCUAGUUGGUAGGGUAAAAGCCUACCAAGGCGACGAUCCAUAGCUGGUCUGAGAGGAUGAUCAGCCACACUGGGACUGAGACACGGAGCAGACUCCUACGGGAAGCAGCAGUGGGGAAUAUUGGACAAUGGGCGAAAGCCUGAUACAGCAAUGCCGCGUGAGUGAUGCAGGCCUUAGGGUUGUAAAGCUCUUUUACCCGGGAUGAUAAUGACAGUACCGGGAGAAUAAGCUCCGGCUAACUCCGUG